GGCAAUUCAAGGCAAGGCAAGGCAAGGCUAGGCAAGGCGGGUGAAGUGUCUGCCCAGGGACACUGAAACUCCUCCCUCCGUAACCACCAUGGUCCCCACAUAGACCUGCUUUACACAGACAAUGAGGCUCUGCGUGUUCACAUUGCUGCGCGGGGGUGUUGUGGAGGCGCACUGCACAUCUGGACUGCGGAAAAACUUCAGACAGGAAUCCUGAUGUGGUCAUUUUGGAUGUUCUGCUGCCAUUAUUAUUAUUAUUAUUAUUAUUAUUAUUAUUAUUAUUAUUAUUAUUAUUAUUAUUGGUGGAGGAUUUUCUCCUGUACUCAGCAAUUUCCCAACUCAUCAGUUUAUGGGAUAUAAAUGUAUAGGUCGUAAUUACUAUAUUUACAAGGCUCUGAGUAUUUUUUAUUAUUAUUGUUUUUUGUUUUUUUUAUGAAAGUUAUGUUCAAAAAUCCUCCCUGCUUUAUUGGACUAUUAGUAAACAGAAAACACCU